GUGAUGUUGCAGCUCUGAAAUAUGGCCAAACUGGUGGCAAGUGGCAUCGUGGCAGCUGCACGCUUGACUUUUCUCAGUUCAUGGGCAGUUAUUUUGCGCCUUGGUUUUUCCACACGCUUCUUGCGACCCUGUUGACUAUUUUGGAUGAAACGCUUGAUUGUUCGAUGAUCACGCUUCAGAAGCUUUGCAAUUUUAAGAGUGCUGCAU